GCUGGGUGCAGUGGUGCACGCCUGUAAUCCCAGCAGUUUGGGAGGCUGAGGCAGGAGGAUCGAGAGUUCAAAGCCAGCCUCAGCAAUGGCAAGGUGCUAAGCAACUCAGUGAGACCCUGUCUCUA
rnacentral:sRNA from 1 species